GUCUUAUUGGUAUCAGAUGUCUGGGCAGUGAGAAGUUGAGCUGUGUCUCUGCUUGAUUUUCUUUUUUAACAGAAGGAAAUCAUAAGGUGAAGUCUUGGUUCUACUAAAACCUCUGAAGCCUUUGCCAUUAAUUUCAGCCAUCAGUGUUUCACCUUGCAGCCAUGAAGUUCAAGCAAAGCUGGACAGCCUGAUUGGUGAAGGCUAACCUACAUGUGGCAUUUUGCAUGGAGCAGCAGUGGUUGGACUUGUUUUCCAGUUUGGGUAACUACCAUCUCAACUGUGCCACAGACUUCAGAGGGAGAUCUUUUCCAGCUUGGAUUCGCCAGAAGUUUGGGGCAGGAAAGCUGCUUCUGAAUAGAAAAAAUGCAGCAGGCGUUCUGAAUGCUGCCGCUGCCAAGAUGGGAGCCCUUGGACUCGAGCUGCUGUGGUGCCUGAAGUCAUCACCAGGCUGGGAGAGAGCACCAGAUGGGGAAGGAGGCUACAGCUCCUGCAGGACCCAGCAGAAAGGUCCAAAUGCAGAGGGUGCGGAAUUCAUCCACCAGCCUCUGCCAGGUUGUGAAUGCGCAGUCUGUUUCUUCUGGAAGACCCCAGGUGACGUGACAGCCCUCACCUGGUUGCUUUUGUUCUGGGGCUCCCUUGUGUCCCUUUCUCCAGAACUCCUCCCAGCUGCAGCAAGGACCUUGACAAGUUUGAGGGACGUGCAAAUAAAAUGA
ensembl:lncRNA